AUUGAACGCUGGCGGCAGGCCUAACUCAUGCAAGUCGAGCGGAUGAAGGGAGCUUGCUCCUGGAUUCAGCGGCGGACGGGUGAGUAAUGCCUAGGAAUCUGCCUGGUAGUGGGGGAUAACGUCCGGAAACGGGCGCUAAUACCGCAUACGUCCUGAGGGAGAAAGUGGGGGAUCUUCGGACCUCACGCUAUCAGAUGAGCCUAGGUCGGAUUAGCUAGUUGGUGGGGUAAAGGCCUACCAAGGCGACGAUCCGUAACUGGUCUGAGAGGAUGAUCAGUCACACUGAAACUGAGACACGGUCCAGACUCCUACUGGAGGCAGCAGUGGGGAAUAUUGGACAAAGGGCGAAAGCCUGAUCCAGCCAUGCCGCGUGUGUGAAGAAGGUCUUCGGAUUGUUAAGCACUUUAAGUUGGGAGGAAGGGCAGUAAGUUAAUACCUUGCUGUUUUGACGUUACCAACAGAAUAAGCACCGGCUAACUUCGUG
rnacentral:rRNA from 1 species